rnacentral:tRNA from 1 species
GGGUAUAGCUCAGUGGUAGAGCACAUGCUUAGUAUGCAUGAGGCACUGAGUUCCAUCCCUAGAACUCCCA